ACAGAAGAAGUAAAAUUGCCACAAAGUGAAUUGCUUGCCUAGCAUGCUGCAGGAAAAUCUCUAAUGUAAAAUUGUGGCUUAUGAAUGAUUAUUUGUCGCUGAACUCCAGGACACUGCCCUGUGGAAACGACGGACAUCUAAACUUGUUUGCUGCUGCUUUAGGAUUCGCUGACUGUUAACGCGACGGCACCUCUGCUGCUUCUUAAAGGUCACGCUGUCACAUAAUUCUGUUGCAGAGCCUCCCACACCGAAGGGUUGGAUACGACAGAAUUAUGUCUUGGAGUUCUUCUAGCCACCUGGCCUAUGAAAAUGGCUAUACUUAGAAGAAAACUUCUCUCCUGUACUGGGAAUUGAACUCAGGACCUUGUGCUUGUGAGGCAGGUGGCGGCACCACUGAGCUAAAUCCCAGCCAUGCACUCUAUUUGAAGGAGCCUGGUUACUCUGUCAACUUCUUGUCUUAAGCUACGAACAGCAGUAUGGACUUUGAAUUUCUUCUCACACGUAUGUA
rnacentral:lncRNA from 1 species